rnacentral:lncRNA from 1 species
AAAUUCUUAUUUAUCCAAAUUUAUCCUAUUGUCACCCUUACUCACCACCCACUCCCUUUUCCCUCAAAUCAACAUCUUCCUCAAUGACACCAUUCUCAAUUUUAAACCCAUCAAAAUAACAACACCCCAUGUUCUCAAAUUGGUCCUUCUCUUGCUUUAGCAGCGAGCCAGUGACAAACUCCCAGACGACUCUAUUCCCAGACACCCUUUGCUCUCGCUGAAGAAACUGCCCCCACGGUUACAGAUGCGGCUUCAGGGAAGCUCUAUGUUGGUAACGUUCCCCGUACUCUGACUAACGAUGAGCCUGCCAAGAUUGUUGAAGAGCAUGGUACUGUCGACAAAACAGAUUCUUGAGUCCAUUUUUAAUUAAGGAAGUGCAUUUGUGGGUGUUUGCUUAUUUAAAUGAAUUUGAAAAUAGGGUCUUUUCUUAAAGUGGUUAGAUGUUCCACUAGAUUUACCUGUUGUGAGGUCAGGUGCCACUUUGGGGACAACUUUAUCCUAACCACCAUGCCCCAAUAGUUCUUCCCUCCUGAGUGUGAUUAUGUACAUCUAAAAGUGAAAUAGAAUAUUUUGUUAUGUUUUUCUACUUGGUGUAUUUCAUAAGUUGAACAGUAAAAUAUACGAUAGUUAAAAAAUUAGGACAUUUUUUUAGUACUCACAAAUGUAUCUCUUCACCUAUAUGAAUAAUGAAUUAAUUGCUUUAUAUCACUGCUCCUCCCAACAAAUAUCAUUUAUAGAAAUUGAACUAUUUCUGGGAUCCAGCGGCUCUAUACCAUUAGACCAAUACCUCCUUUUUGGUAAAGUAAGACUUUUUAGGUCAACUAAAGGUGUGAACUGUAACAGAGGCGGAUGAUUAUAGGGGCAGGUGGGGGCUGCUGCCCCCCUGAAUUUUUGCACAAAGGAACAUAUUUGUUGUCCCAUAAAAUAUAUCAAUCCAUGUGAUACUUGAAAAAUACUUAAUUAUUAAACUUUUAAAUUAUAAAAUACAUUUCUCAAUCAAUCAUAACAAGCGCACAUAGAUUAAUACAUUUUUUUGAAACAACACGUACAAUCACUUACCUACACCCAAACACAUUUUUAUGAAGUAAAUCAUUGAAGCUCACAUAUUCCUUUAAUUUCUACCUUGAUAAAUAAAUGUAGUCUAACUUGUUUGUCAUUCUAAAAAUUAUACAUAAAUGGAUCUAAUUCUUUUACAUGUGUAGAUGAUGAUGUUGCUUAUAAUAUAUGACUUCAUUUGAGUUCGAAAAUACUUUACACAUAAUGAAAGAGAUUAUGUAUGUAUUGAUAAUAUAUCAUAAAAAUUCAUUUAAUAUUAAUAAUAUAUGUAUUCUGUCCAACAAUUAUAUGCUAUGAAUUUUAAUGAGCAAGAGAGAAGAUUAGUUUGAGAUGUCAAUUUCAACAUUUUAUUCUUGCUGUUAUUAAGUCAUUCAAGUUUGAAAAACUCUCAACAUAUGUUGUUAGUCAUGUCUUGUUUUAUCAAAUUGUUCGUCUUAUCUUAACUAUUGUGGUUCGGUUAACAUAAAUAUCAUUUUCAACAAUGAAAACAACCAAACAAAAUUAGGUAGGAAAAUAAAAGAUGAAUUUAUUGUAUACAACAUAGUGAUUAAUAUUGAAAAGGAAAUAAAUAAUUUUUUUACCACAUGUGCAGUUAAUUAACGUGUAAUUAAAUAUUAUUGCCCCUCCUAACAUUUAAGUUAAGAUCCGCCACUGAACUGUAAUGUUCUUCUACACCGAAGAAAUAGUUUUCCAAUUAAUUUAUUGAAGUCACACUUUUAAUGUAGCUGGCUAUACUUAAUGGGAUAAAAGUUUGGUUGUUGUUACAUUAUUUUUUCCUCUCAUCCAAAUUUUCUUUUGGGAAACAUUCUUUUAAUAAUUGAGGGUAUGGACAUAGUUUUUAUUUAUUUAUUAUUAUCUAAGUGAAUUUGCCAAUUUGGAAUGGGGGUGUUUUGGAUGCAGUAUAGCCCAAUAGUUAGGGGUAAAGGAAGAUUGAUAAAAACUCUAAGCUAAACAACCAAAGAGGAAUUAGAUUUAGAUCUAAAUGGCCUCCUGGAUAAUUUGGUUUUGAUAGAAUUGAUCCAUGCAAGCGAUCUCAUCUAAUUGAAACAGAGUUUGGUCGUUGCUGUCAAAUUUCUGAUUAUUUCCGCUCUAUAACCACUCGUGGUAUUGGGAACUUUUUUAUUUUAGUUGAGGAACUGCAUUUUCCAUAUGGGAAUUGGGAUGUGCUGUCCAAGCAUCAGCUAGCAGAUGUACUUACUAGUUCCCUAUUUCAUUUUCCAUUGUUCAAGAUGGACAUGUACAUUGAAAACUUAAUUCAUCUCUCUCGUUUCUCACCUCUCUGCAAUUCUCACCUUAAUAAUGUUUGCUUAUUUUAGUGAACUUUCAAGAAUCAAAAUGGGGAGUUUCAAUUUCUAUUUUGUUUUGUUUUGUUUGGAGUUGUGGUGUUUCAUAUUUGAUUCUUCAUUACAUUUAACAUUGAGGUGCACAGGAACUGUAUAUGUACAGUUCUGCUACUAUUUUGGCGGUUCAAAGUUCAAACAACCUUGCUUUGUUAGAAAAGUGUAGUAAUCUGAACACAAAACUGAACAUGUCAUGUUUUCCCGCCUUGGUAACUGUCACGUUAAUAUGAAAUUGUGGAAUGCCAAUUACACAAGCAUUAAUCUACACUAUCAUAAGUAAGGAUCUUCUUGAUUUUCCUAGACUAGCUUCAAUGAAACAAGAUGCCUUGUAAUUUGUAAAUCAUAAUGUUGGUUAACACCGCAUUCAGAAAAACUAGCCUCCCACCAAACGAGAUAAAUUUGCUUAUCCAAGUAGCUAACAUUCUAUCCACUUCCUCCACCACCAGGGUCCAAGUAGCACUCCUAGCACAAGCUCUAAACGAAAUACCCAGGUAGGAAAAAGGAAUCGAACCAAUCCCACAAGCUAGAAAAUGUGCAACCGAAGAAAGAAAUAGAUUUGGAUGCUAAUAGAUGGACGAGAGGCAGUUUAUUAAUCCAUAUAAAUCUCUUUAAAUUAUAUUUUGUUAUCCAAUCCACCUGAUUCAUCUAUGAUUUCAUUUUCAUAGAUUUGGAUGGAUGUAUAUUAAAUCAAUUUGAUUUCUUUUUUUUGCUAAGCAAACGAGAUUAUAUUAAGAAGCAAAAGGGGUGCUAACCCAAUGCAAAAAUUGACUGGCUACAAAGGUUAAUACAUGACCAAUGGUCAAUGCACCAAUUAGCAAAAACUACUUUAUUUUGUAUCUUACAUGAAUUGAACCAAGACCGAGAUCUAACCUUAAUUAGGUCCAUUGUUUGCAGAUAACUACACUCCUUCUGAUUGAACAUCUUGUCAUUCGUCAUUAGUCAUAAGGACCACAACAUACAUAACAACAACAUAAUUCAAACUUUAAUCCCUUCAGUAUUUCUACCCAUCCGAAUAUGAUUUUUGAAGAUAGAAAGACAAUCAAAGGGGAUAAAAAUGGUGAUACCUAACCAAUUGUAGAAAUCUUCCCAAACACAAUGAGAAAACGCACAAGAAGCAAAAAGAUGGUCUACUGUUUUCGAACCUAGGUUGCACAAAUCACACAUCUUUUCAACUUCAUCAAGGAUGACCCUCCUCUUGAUUAACUCAAAUCUUGUCGGAAUCUUCCCUCUUAAUAAUUUAUAAGCAAAACAACUAACCUUUGAAGGACAAUUAUUCACCCCCCACCUUUUUGAGAAUCCUCCCCAACUCAAUUUAACUAGCUUUCAAUUGGAAAAGGUAAGCUAACUUUACCUCAUAAACCUAGAGGAACAAAGGUUCCAACACCACGAGUCCUGAAUUCCCUCCUUGCAAGAGAAAAGUUGAAUUGAUCUAAGCAAGUCCACCUCCUGUGUGACUUCCCAACCAAAAAGUCUUCUACUCCAUUCCACCUUCCAAGACCAAAUCUCAUCCCUCCAACCACUAGACUCUGCCACCAAAGCCUACUUCUCCAUUGCAAUCAAAUAAAUCCUUGGAUAUACAUCUUUCAGACACCAAUUGCCAAACGAGACAUCAAGUCAAAAAUGAGAAUUAUUGUCAUCUCCUAGUUGUUUCCCAAUAUUAGAAGAGAACCAAUUGUUUUCCACUCCAACCGAGCACCCUACCUUCCCCACAACCUUCCACCAUUGUGACGCAAAAGAACUAAUAAGAGAUAAAUCCCUCCCAUACUUAGAAGUAAUGACCCUAGCCCACAACGCAUCUUUCUCCUUCAUGAACCUCCAUUUCCAUUUUCCUAUAAGAGCUUCAUUAAACAACGAUAAAUCCUUCACCCUAAGACCUCCAACACUCUUCGGCUUACAAACCUCCUUCUAAGAUACCCUCGCUAUGCCCCUCUCACCUAUUUUAUUGCCCCACAAGAACCUUCUUUGAAUCGUAAUUAACUUAUUAAUCACUUUCUGUGGUGCCUUGUAUAGUGAAAGAGGUAAAUCAUAAUGUUGGUUAGCACCGCAUUCAGAAAAACUAGCCUCCCACCAAACGAGAUAAAUUUGCUUAUCCAAGUAGCUAACAUUCUAUCCACUUCCUCCACCACCAGGGUCCAAGUAGCACUCCUAGCACUAGCUCUAAACGAAAUACCCAGGUAGGAAAAAGGAAUCGAACCAAUCCCAUAAGCUAGAAAAUGUGCAACCGAAGAAAGAAAUAGAUUUGGAUGCUAAUAGAUUGACGAAAGGCAGUUUAUUAAUCCAUAUAAAUCUCUUUAAAUUAUAUUUUGUUAUCCAAUCCACCUUAUUCAUCUAUGAUUUCAUUUUCAUAGAUUUGGAUGGAUGUAUAUUAAAUCAAUUUGAUUUCUUUUUUUUGCUAAGCAAACGAGAUUAUAUUAAGAAGCAAAAGGGGUGCUAACCCAAUACAAAAAUUGACUGGCUACAAAGGUUAAUACACGACCAACGGUCAAUGCACCAAUUAGCAAAAACUACUUUAUUUUGUAUCUUACAUGAAUUGAACCAAGACCGAGAUCUAACCUUAAUUAGGUCCAUUAUUUGCAGAUAACUACACUCCUUCUGAUUGAACAUCUUGUCAUUCGUCAUUAGUCAUAAGGACCACAAAAUACAUAACCACAACUUAAUUCAAGCUUUAAUCCCUUCAGUAUUUCUACCCAGCCGAAUAUGAUUUUUGAAGAUAGAAAGACAAUCAAAGGGGAUAAAAAUGGUGAUACCUAACCAAUUGUAGAAACCUUCCCAAACACAAUGAGAAAACGCACAAGAAGCAAAAAGAUGGUCUACUGUUUUCGAACCUAGGUUGCACAAAUCACACAUCUUUUCAACUUCAUCAAGGAUGACCCUCCUCUUGAUUAACUCAAAUCUUGUCGGAAUCUUCCCUCUUAAUAAUUUAUAAGCAAAACAACUAACCUUUGAAGGACAAUUAUUCACCCCCACCUUUUUGAGAAUCCUCCCCAACUCAAUUUAACUAGCUUUCAAUUGGAAAAGGUAAGCUAACUUUACCUCAUAAACCUAGAGGAACAAAGGUUCCAACACCACGAGUCUUGAAUUCCCUCCUUGCAAGAGAAAAGUUGAAUUGAUCUAAGCAACUCCACCUCCUGUGGGACUUCCCAACCAAAAAGUCUUCUCCUCCAUUCCACCUUCCAAGACCAAAUCUCAUCCCUCCAACCACUAGACUCUGCCACCAGAGCCUACUUCUCCAUUGCAAUCAAAUAAAUCCUUGGAUAUACAUCUUUCAGACACCAAUUUCCAAACGAGACAUCAAGUCAAAAAUGAGAAUUAUUGCCAUUUCCUAGUUGUUUCCCAAUAUUAGAAGAGAACCAGUUGUUUUCCACUCCAACCGAGCACCCUACCUUCCCCACAACCUUCCACCAUUGUGACGCAAAAGAACUAAUAAGAGAUAAAUCCCUCCCAUACUUAGAAGUAAUGACCCUAGCCCACAACGCAUCCUUCUCCUUCAUGAACCUCCACUUCCAUUUUCCUAUAAGAGCUUCAUUAAACAACGAUAAAUCCUUCACCCUAAGACCUCCAACACUCUUCGGCUUACAAACCUCCUUCUAAGAUACCCUCGCUAUGCCCCUCUCACCUAUUUUAUUGCCCCACAAGAAUCUUCUUUGAAUCGUAAUUAACUUAUUAAUCACUUUCUUUGGUGCCUUGUAUAGUGAAAGAGGUAAAUCAUAAUGUUGGUUAGCACCGCAUUCAGAAAAACUAGCCUCCCACCAAACGAGAUAAAUUUGCUUAUCCAAGUAGCUAACAUUCUAUCCACUUCCUCCACCACCAGGAUCAAGUUAGCACUUCUAGCACUAGCUCUAAACGAAAUACCCAGGUAGGAAAAAGGAAUCGAACCAACCCCACAAGCCAGAAAAUGUGCAACCGAAGAAAGAAAUUUGUUCUCUACUUUGAUACCAAAUAGCGAACUCUUGUUAGAGUUAACUCUAAGACGAUAAGCCAGCUCAAAACUUCUCAGAAUACUCUUGGUAUAGCACAGGUUCUCCGAUGUUGGUGUACAAACCACAAUAGUGUCAUCCGCAAACUACAAGUUAGAGAUAACUACUUGCUGAUUCCCAACCUUGAACACUUGGAACAACCCAACUUCCAUAGCACUACAGAUCAAAUCAGAGAACCCUUCUACCACUAGGAGAAACAGGAAGGGAGCCAUAGGAUCCCUUGGCUGGAUUACUUUAUAGACUAGGAACUAGGUUGAAAGACUACCAUUAAUAAGAACAUGCAUCAUACUAGAAGACUUACAAACACUAAUCCACUUCCUCCACACCACCAGAAAUACAAACUUGUCUAGUAUAUAAUCUAAGAACUCCUAAUUUACCGAGUUGUAAGCCUUCUCAAAAUCAACUUUCAACAACAGACAACCUGACAUGCGCCUUUUAGUUGAAUGAAUCACCUCAUUCAAAAUGACCACCACAUCCAAAAUACUUCUAUUUUGAAUAAAGGCAUAUUGUGAAGGAGAUAUCAAAGCCCCCACCACUUCUUUCAAUCUACCAGCAAAAACCUUAGACAAAAUUUUGUAAAGAGAUUCAAGCAAAGAAAUAGGUCUAAACUCCUCAAUUUUACACAGAUUCAAGAUUUUAGGAAUCAGAGGUAUAAAAGAGUUGUUUAGACCUUUUGGGAGUUUCGAGUUGACAUGGAAUUCUCUCACAAAAGAACAAACAUCCAAAUGCACCACAUCCUAACACUCCUGAAAAACAAGAAAUUAAACUCAUAUGACUCAUGACUCUUAUCACUAGCACAAUCUCAAACUGCCAUCUUAAUCUCCUUUUCAGAAAACACCUCCACAAGCUUCUCCUAUUGGGCUUGAGUCAAGGUUUUAAAUUCCACCCCGUCUAACUUCAGUCUCCUUCUCUGAUCCUCCUUGAAAAGCUUCUCAAAGUAAGAAGAAAUCCCCAUGACAAUCUCGUCUUAUUUUUCACACCAUUGACCAUCAAUUGAGAUCCCAAGAAUCUAGUUUAUCCUUUUAUAAUUAAUACAAGAAUGAAAAUAAUUUGAGUUCGCAUCACCUUCUUUAAUCCAACGGUCUUUAGAUUUUUGCGAUAGAAGAUUACCUUUCAAAAUAGUUGUGUUCCACCAUCUUGCAUUAAGGUUCUUGUGUGAUUCCACUUGCUGGUCAGAUAUAGUAUUGGUUUCACCUUCCUUAUCAAUACUAUUAAUUUCCUGUGAAAAAUCCCUCAACUAACUAUCCAAACAACCAAACAUGCUUUUAUUCCAAGAUUUCAAUCAUGACUUCAAUAUACGAAGUUUUUUCCAUUGCAACAAAUGUUGCCCAGCCUCUAAUCCCAUCUUGAUUCCGCGUUCCUUUAACAAAGUCUACAAAGUCCUUAUGCUUAAUCCAUUAGUUGUUGAAUCUAAAGGGGCUAGGCCUUUCUUCGAUACCCUAUACUUUAAUAUCAAAAGAAAAUGAUCAGAAAAGGAUCUAUCCAAAGCCCAUUGGGAUGCCUUAGGCCAAGUAAACAACCAAUCCUUAGAAAGAAGGAUUCUAUCCAGCAGACUCAUAUUAACUACCUCCAAGUUAAUACCAAGUAAAACUUCUUCCUAUCAAAGGAAUAUCAAUGAGCUCCAUUUGCCAAAUCCAACCAUUAAACAAAAACAUCUCCUUUCUAUUAUCACCCGAUUGAUUAUCCCUUCUUUCAGAACCAUCUUUGGUAGAAUUAAAAUCUCUCAAAAAACACCAAAAAAUAUCACCUUCAUCCAUCUUCAAAUUAAACAAGUCAUCCCAUAAUUGUCGUUUAUUGGGCAACAAACAAGGCCAAUAAAUAUUAACAACACAACACACUGAUUGAUUUGGGAUCCAAGUUCCCAAAAUAACAAGAAACCCAAUACCAUGAAUUGACCUAUCUCUCCUGGGCUUCCUCUCAUUCCAAAUGCUCAACACACCGCUCGAUCUCCUAGAAGAAGGAAUAAAAUCUCAGCCAAACUCUUGAUUGAAUACAACAUUGGUUUAUAGUAAAUGAGGUUUUGACUGCUUUGAAUCGGAGAAAUCAGGUCUAACCAUGUUAAACUCAAUUAAAUCAAAAUAAUUCAGAAAGUGAACUGAACUAUUCAUUUAAAAUAAUAAAAAACACCACACCAGUGUAAUAUUAUGUUUUAUUCGGGUCCAAAAAAGAUAGAAACGUAUUACUUUAAUACAAUUAUUAACUAUAUAAAAUUUUGCAUUAUAUAUAAUUAUAUAUUUAUAUAUAAAUAUUUAUUAUAUAUGACAUCUUCUGGUCUGAUCAGAUAAUUUAACUGGUCAAACCAUUUAAACCUUAUAGGAGACUUCUAUUUAAUAUUUGGUCUGAGUUUUAUAACAUUGAAUAAAACCCUAUGUUAAGCAACAUAGCUUGUAUUUCAAAUUGUCCAUGUUGGUUAGACGUGUCUUAGCCUUGACAUUGUUGAUGUGCCAAACUUUCAUGUCAAAUGUGCCUCAGGCUGAGCUCAUGAUCGUGCCAAGUAUGCUUCUGGCUCGGCUCAUGACCAUGCCAUGUUUGCUUAUAACUUGACUUUUUAUUGUGUCAUGUCUAAGUCGUGAUCAUGCCAAGUCUCUCAUUUGACGCAUCAGAUGUCUGCAUUAUGAUCGUGCCAUGUUUCUCCUUUGUUGCAUCAAGUACCUUGACUUGUGGCGCACCUGAGACAUCUUGUGCCUUGGUUAUUGGGGCACCUAAGGUAUGAGGUGUCUGGAUCUUUGGCCUUGUGUAGAAUGUCUGGGCUAAUACAAAUUAAGUUUCAUUAGUUAUUACAUGUCAUUUUUAAUGUGUGUUGACUUUAGGUAAAUUGCAAAAAAAACCUCCCUUGGCAAUGAACUUGAAUUUACAAAAUAUAGGAACAGAAGAUAAGUUCAUAGGGUUGUCAUCACGUACAAAUUUCUGAAUUCAUUGAAAUACAAUUAUUAGAGAUUGUUAGGUUGACAAAGUAAAAUAGUCCCUCUAACUGUCACAUGAACAAUGCUUAGAGCAGUUACCAUUCUCUCUAGACAUAUACUUCCUCCGUUUCCUUUCUGUUAGGUUGACAAAGCCAAAUAUUGAUUCUAACGGCCACAUAAUCAAUGAUCAAAGUAAUGGUCAUGCUCAGCAAAUAUAGAUUGUGUCUGUUCCUGAGUAUCUCUCUAGUAAUGUUAUAUUUUAAACUAAGAAAAUUGAAGAAAACAUUGAAACAUUAUUAUAUUUUUAUCUAUUACUCAAAUAUUUGGAUUGAAAAUUAUUUUUAAGUUGUAUUUAGAUAUGAUUUAACUAUGUUAUUUGGCCAAGAUGGCAAUCUUACCAAAAAUAUAAUAGCUGUGUUUUGAUAAAAUUUAUAUUCUUAUAUGAUUUAACCAACUCCUAAGUCCUUAUAAAUAGGUGAACUUGUAAACAAUUGGAAUGUGAGCUUGUGUGAGUCAGAAAAUUUUGUAUCUGAGCAUUCAUAUUUUCUUCCAUGUCAUAUUAAUUUCAACAAUGCAAUUACUUUUAAUUGUCAACAUUUGACAUCAGAGCUGGUUGUUUCAAAAUAUUAACACGUACAAGCACAUAUGCAAACCAUAUUAGCGGAUAAAAACAAUUAUUCUCAAGUAUGAUGAUAGAUCAAAUUUUGCAAUAUGAAAAUGUUUGAGGGAGCUGUGUUAAGCAAUCAAUGAGAAUGAAAAAUUUCAUACUGAGGGUAUUAUUAGAAAACUAGUGUUUCUUGAAAUUUUAAGAUAGACCGGUAGAAAAACUUCUUAAUUCCCAAUGUUAAGGUGAUAGUGAUAAUAUAUUUAACUGGUCAAAUUAUUCAUAUUUCAUCCAAAUUCAAUAAAAUUAAAUUCAUUCAAUUUUAUUCAUUAAUGCUAAUGUAUUUAAAUGGAUAAAUUCUAAUAGAUAACUUUAGUAACGGGUGAAUUUGAAUUCAUCCAUUGUAUUCGAUGGAUAUCCAUGGAUAUAUCCAUUUAGAUGAUUAUCUAAUCCAUCUAAAAAACAAAAAUUCGAAAAUAAAGUUAUUUGCUUUUCCAUUUCAUUUAAUAUUCAAGAAAAUUAUAUUCAAGCAAAUUAUCCAUAAUUCUCACCAUCACUUUUAAUAUUUUAUUAAUUUGAUAUCAAUUAUAGGACAAAUGUAUGUAAUUAAUAUUAAAAGUUUAUUCUUAAAUACAUAACAUAUAUAAGUAUGAGAAAAAUGUAUGCACUAACAACAUAUGAGUUUUAUACACUAUCACUACAUUUUCUACAUUUAUAUUUAUUCAUCAUUAACUCAUCAAAAAAGUAAUACAAAUGAAUGAUGGAUGAUGUAAUGAUUAUGUAUAAAUAUUUAUGUUGACAUUGCAUAUAUUUUACACUAUAAGUAUUUGUUAAAAAAUUUACACAUAGAACUUAAACGUCACAUACUUAUAGAAUAUUACAAAAAUAUUAUUUUAUAAAAAUUAAUCAUUUUAUUUAUAAAAAAAAGAUUUUUAAAAGUGUUUUUUAAAUGCUUUUAAAAGUGCCUUUUUAAAAGGUGAUUUAAAAAAAUAUUGUAUUGAGAUAGUAAUUUUUAUAAUAUUGAUUUUCUUCAAUAGUGUUUUAAAGAUAGGAGAGGAGGUGAGAGAGACUGUGACCCUGGGUUUAGGAACGUUGCUCACGGAGGAGGAGGACACCGUGAAGAUAGUGAUAAAAGACAGAGUUUUCAGCCGUGUGGAUACUUUAAGACUCUAAAAGCCACUUCAGUCACCUUCUACUUCACUAACUUCUGCGAUUCCAAUGGCAUUGAUGAUAUGUGGAAAGUUUUUUUUCCAAUUGAGGACGGGAUGCGGAUGUUUCAAUUCUGCAUGAGAGAUAUAUAAGAGGAAAAUGAUUCGGGUUUGUGCGAUUUAAGGAGGUUGGUGAUAAGAGUAAAUUGGAGAAAGAGAUGGAGAAUGUUUGAUAGGGUUAUACAAAGUCAUUGUCAAUAGGCCAAGGUUUCAAAGUGCUUGAGGUUCGACCAGAUUGCAAGAACAAUGAAGAGGGAAAAGACAUGCACCUGAUCAAAACAUCUCAAGUGGUGAUUAAAAAUUGGAAAGAGGUUGUAGGGAAUGGUCUCCCUCAGAAGAAAUUCUAAUGUCGAAAGGAAGUUUGGAGGAAGGAGAGUUUCAGGGUAUCUUGGAAUUUGAUGUGCUAAAUGUGAACUUGGGGUGGCUGAAAGACUGUAUAGUGGGGGAGCUCAAGAGUUGGGAAAAUUUGCUAAUAAUCUGGGAGCUAUUUGAAAAUGAAGGAUUGUUCUCUUUCAAGGCCAUACUAAUGGGGGGAGGGGGAAGAAGAUUCUGAUUCAAGGGGACUCAGGCGAGGAUGUUCAGGACCUGUUGUUAAACUUCAAAGAAUGGUGUGAUUCCAUCUUCUCUUCUAUUUCAUGGUGGUCGUCAAAGGAACACGAUCUGGCAUAUCUAGUGUGGCUGAGAUGUUAGCGUGUACCUGUUUAUAUAUGAUCAGAGGAGUUUUUCUGUAAGCUUGCUAGAAAGGUAGGGACAUUGGUCGAAAUCGAAGAUGAAACGAAGGAGAAGAGAAGGUUGUGUGUUGGAAGCUUCCUUGUAGCUACUAAAGAGAUGCAGGCGCUAGAUAUUACUCAGAAGGUUAAGGUGGGAGAGUUGUGCUUCGACAUAAGGGUGGUUGAGGACACUUUCUUUGAACCUAGAGGAUGUAAGUAUGGCUUGGGCUACUCAAAGGGAUCCAUGGGGGAGGAGUUGGCAUCGAAGGAAGGUGAUUCGAAGAGUGCAGAUUUAUGGUCGGGCAAUGACCGUGGAUGGGCGAGGAGGAAGCUUAGUCGGGGGAAGAAGAUGAUGUGGACCAAAUGAAAAAUGGGGCAGGGGAGUGGGCAGAACCAAACGGAUUUGGGACAGCACAAUGGGCAGGAGAGAGAUAUUGGGAAGGAAUGUGGAUUGCAGUCUAGUAUCCACCUACGAGAAGGCAUCAACCUGGGCAGGAUUCCAACAUUUGUAACUCUUUUUCCGGUUCAAUUAUAGAGAAGGCAAAAUCACUAAAAUUAAAAAAACGAGUCACACUACGAGAAAGAUUUAGAUACUUAGCAAAGAUAUUGGGGUAAGCUUUACUAGAGAGGAUGCAUAAAUGAUGGCUAUUAUUUAAGAAUUAGAGGAUAGGGAUAGGAUGGGGUCCCAUAAUACCAAUCAAAUGGAUGUCAACAGUGUCCAAUGAUUUGUGCAACAAUUAAUGUGAGGGGUUUGGGGGGUGCAUCAAAGAAAAUAGGGGUGAGGGAGUUAAUUCGAAAGAAUGACAUGGAUUAAAUUGUUAUAUAGGAAACAAAAAUGGCAGUUAUUAGCGAAGAUUUAUGCUCAAGGCUGUUGGGGAAUCAGACAAUUUCCUUCUGUAUCAGACAUUAUUGUAUUCAAUCCAGCUGUUAUCUCAAUAUAUUCAUUCUCAAUAAAAGUAGCUAUUUUGAUCUUCUUCUUCUUUGUUUCUUCAAAUUGCAUUCUUGUUCGAGCAUCAAUUGCUCAAACUUAAUCAUCCACCUUUGCUUUUAUGUUAGUUUGUUCGUCUUUGUUGGGAUAUUCUCUAUCGCAAUUUACUUUUUCAUUAGUAGUUGGAACAUGAGACAAAACUAUUUUCUAAACUUUUCUUAUUAUCAUUCUCUCUUCUUAGUAACACUGAAACUAGACUUCAAUUGUUGGACAAUAUCUCCAUCCGAAAUCCAUAGAUUAAACACGAAAGUCUUUAUGACCAUGGCUUUGUUCCCAUAACUUAAUGUUUGUGCCCAUACAUAAACCCAAAUGGAACAACCAUGGUCCAGACCGAAGAAACCCCAAAUGAGUUCAUGGUGAAGAUGAAAAACAUACCUUGUUGAGCCAUUUCCGGAAUCUCGAAGGUAUGAGAGUGCAAUGAUCUUCUAGAUUAUAG